rnacentral:lncRNA from 1 species
UAAUUUCUUCACAUCAUCAGGUUCUUUCUUAAACUUCUCGCUAAACCCAGCUAACACCAUCAUUUGCACAAUUGUUCACGGUGAUUCCCUUUGCUCCUUCUUUAGUCUUCCUUUCCUUUCUGUUUAUUGGCCCUUUCUUUCCCUUCAAAGACAUAACAAUUCAAGGCCUCUAAAUUGGUUAAAAGAACUAGAUCACUCCCCAAUG